rnacentral:lncRNA from 1 species
AUCAGUUCUUGGGUACUUGGGGAUCUAGCAGGUUCAUGUCAUACGGGUCCGCAGGUUAUGCACUGCACAAGGCCUGGGAGCGCCAUUUACGUAGACGUUCACGUGAACCGUGCCCCCUUAAGUUGUGCGAAAUAGUGGCCACUCAUCUAAAGCAGCGCUCUGGCUUAUCAGGUCUGAUUUCCUUCUCGUCUUCAGUGAUAUUCCUUUCUUUCCAAUUAGACAUCCAUUCCCUUGGUUAUAUCCCUGAUAUUGUGAUUGUGGCCUCCCGAAUUUCUAGUGCUAGGUCUUCAUGCUGAAGUUCCCAUAAUUCCAGUUGCUUGAUGACUCUCUUCCACCUCCCACCCCCAACCACAACAGUUCUUU